rnacentral:misc_RNA from 1 species
GGUUUGAUGUUAUAUGGGGUUCAUGCUAACAUUUUAGUGGUUUUGUAUUAUUAAAUAUGCCGUUGUUUCUAAAUUGUUAUGAAUAAAAAGGUAAUGUUUUCAUCAAAUAUUGAACUUUUUAUUUGUUUUUUAUUCCUGAUUUACACAAUGUUAAAUUUUCGUAUGUGCAGCAUUUUUGUCCCAAUCAGUAUUGUUUGUGCAUAAAUUACUAGUUUUUUUAGACAAAUUGCAUAUAAAUUAUUCAUUUGUGUGUACAAAGUCAAUAAGUGAAUGUUAAAAUCAAACUAGCUGUAGAACUAAUGGGUUGCUGAACUGGCAGGUUUUGGUACAUGUACCGGUAUGUAUUAGUUUUGUUAGACCAAAGAAUACUUUUUGCCAAAAAAUGAAACAGGAAUUGUAUUUUUGAUAUUUCUCCUUUUUUUGAGAACUAGAAAGACAUAGUAUUUAUCUGUUAAAUAUAAAUAUGUAAAAUUAUAACAGAAUUAAAAUUUAAAAAAAAACUUAACUUUUACGUGAGUUAAAGAUAUUUACAACUUGUAUAGUGAUAUCAAUCAUGUGUUUGAAUAUAAUUCAAUACAUGUAUAAUUUGGCUCCAAGUAAAAUUUUUCAUGUACAUAUUUGUACAUAAUUAAUUUUCCAUUUUAAAAAUUUAUUUAUCCUUUUACUUAGAGAAAUAAAAAUUUGAAGUGAGCCCUAGCUUGGAUAGAUGGUGACAGUUUUAAAUGCAGAUCAUGAAUGCUAUAAACAAGAGUGGCUUGUAGAAGUAAACCUUGGCCCAUAUAUCAAUCAUUGUUGUGUAUUUUGUGUAUAAUAUCCAUGAUGAACCAUUUAGAUGUUCAAUUGUAUGUUUAAUGAAUAAAGUUGGACACUUGUUUAC